UACGGGGGGAGCAAGCGUUGUUCGGAUUUACUGGGCGUAAAGGGCGCGUAGGCGGGCGCAACAAGUCACUUGUGAAAUCUCCGGGCUUAACUCGGAACGGUCAAGUGAUACUGUUGUGCUAGAGUGCGGAAGGGGCAACUGGAAUUCUCGGUGUAGCGGUGAAAUGCGUAGAUAUCGUAAGGAAGACCAGUGGCGAAGGCGGGUCUCUGGACAGUUCCUGACGGCUGAGGCACGAAGGCCAGGGGAGCAAACGGG
rnacentral:rRNA from 1 species